GAUUAGAAGCUUGCUUCUAUGACGUUAGCGGCGGACGGGUGAGUAACACGUGGGCAACCUGCCUGUAAGACUGGGAUAACUUCGGGAAACCGAAGCUAAUACCGGAUAGGAUCUUCUCCUUCAUGGGAGAUGAUUGAAAGAUGGUUUCGGCUAUCACUUACAGAUGGGCCCGCGGUGCAUUAGCUAGUUGGUGAGGUAACGGCUCACCAAGGCAACGAUGCAUAGCCGACCUGAGAGGGUGAUCGGCCACACUGGGACUGAGACACGGCCCAGACUCCUACGGGAGGCAGCAGUAGGGAAUCUUCCGCAAUGGACGAAAGUCUGACGGAGCAACGCCGCGUGAGUGAUGAAGGCUUUCGGGUCGUAAAACUCUGUUGUUAGGGAAGAACAAGUACGAGAGUAACUGCUCGUACCUUGACGGUACCUAACCAGAAAGCCACGGCUAACUACGUGCCAGCAGCCGCGGUAAUACGUAGGUGGCAAGCGUUAUCCGGAAUUAUUGGGCGUAAAGCGCGCGCAGGCGGUUUCUUAAGUCUGAUGUGAAAGCCCACGGCUCAACCGUGGAGGGUCAUUGGAAACUGGGGAACUUGAGUGCAGAAGAGAAAAGCGGAAUUCCACGUGUAGCGGUGAAAUGCGUAGAGAUGUGGAGGAACACCAGUGGCGAAGGCGGCUUUUUGGUCUGUAACUGACGCUGAGGCGCGAAAGCGUGGGGAGCAAACAG
rnacentral:rRNA from 1 species